rnacentral:rRNA from 1 species
GUCCACGCCGUAAACGAUGGAUACUAGCUGUCCGGGCCCUUGGGGUCUGGGCGGCCAAGCGAAAGUGAUAAGUAUCCCACCUGGGGAGUACGUUCGCAAGAAUGAAACUCAAAGGAAUUGACGGGGGCCCGCACAAGCGGUGGAGCAUGUGGUUUAAUUCGAUGAUACGCGAGGAACCUUACCAGGGCUUGAAUGCAUUAUGACGGGGGCGGAGACGCCCUUUUCUUCGGACAUAUUGCAAGGUGCUGCAUGGUU